GGUGUAGCUCAGUGGUAGAGCCCAUGCUUAGCAUGCAUGAGGUCCUAGGUUCAAUCCUCAGUACC
rnacentral:tRNA from 1 species